rnacentral:rRNA from 1 species
AUGGCAGAGCUGGGUCUUCGGGAAGAGGACCUUGACGAUGUGGUUUUUGACGAGAAGGAGGCACCGCCAGAGGCAGCUCGUUGGAUUGCGCUCGUUAGAGUUCAUACGGCCAAAACCUACAGUCAAUAUUGGUUUUUCAAGAAUAUGAGGGCUGCGUGGGAUCUGGCCCAAGAAGUUCAGUUCAAGCCGCUUAAGGAAAAUUUGUAUACAGUUCAAUUCUCGUGCUUAGGAGAUUGGGAA